UCACCUGACCAGUUGGCCAGACUGGUCUUAAACAUCUGUCCUCAAGUGAUCCUCCCACCUUGGCCUCCCAAAGUGCUGGGAUUACAGGUGUGAGCCACCAUGCCUAACCUGGACACUUUCUUAGUUCAGCCAGAGACAGGGUUCUUUGUUCCAUGGCCAUGAAAAUUCAGGCUCACAGGCAAUUUGAAUGGUGAGUACUACAGGGUUUUAUUGGGUGAAAAGGAAGAAAAGGGGGAAACAGGAACUCCCACUAGGCCAGAGUCCCUGCUGGAGUGCUUCCUGCCCGGCCUUUCCAGUUCAGGUUCCACACGGGAAGAGGAGGGGCCGGGCUCAGGUUCCACACGGGAAUAGGAGGGGCCAGGAUCCUCCUCAAUGAAAAUGCCCCAAACUUCCCAAGGUUUCACCCCAGUGUGCAUGCCUCCCAGUGUGCAGGCUGGUUGGAGAUUCUCUGGGGACCCCCUCCCACUUGCUGUCUCAGUGGUAGUUGAGCCAAGUUCUGGAAAAUGAUAAGGAGCCUACCAAGCAAACCAUGAGGGGAGCUCUGUAGUCUUAGUGAGAGUCACACUUUUCUUUAAAGGGUGAAGGAAAGGGUAAACCUGGGCAAGAGGGAAGGAGAGAGUGCCAGGGAGUAGGUCCGAAGGAACUUGCCCAAGAGGAGGAAAGAAGGCUUCACGGUUUCCCAUCUGCACUAGAGGGCUGAGUGGCAAACAGAGUCUUAGUUUGAGAGAUAAACAAACAAACAAAAAUCUCCUUUCUUCUCUUCGAAUUUAUGCCAGGAGGAGAGCCACCAUCCAUUAAGGCAACUUAAGAAAGUUUGAUGUAAUCUUCAUUAAUGACCUGGAGAUCUCACGCCAUGCAUAUAAGAUAUGGAAUGUAAUCAUAAUAUCAGAUACUUACCUGGUGUUUACCAUAUGCAAGGCAUUGUCCCAAGGGCUCUAUAUACAGAUGCAUUCGUAGAACUCAUUUAAUUCUCACAGCCACCCUAUGAUUGUGUAACUCAUUUAUUUCUCUUUGUGUUUAAGAGACUUGCCCAAAGGUCAUAUAGCUUGUAAGUGACAGAAACAGGCAUGAAACAUAGGCAGGCUGCCUCCGUAGGACAUAUGUGUAUUUCCAUCAUGUCACAGUCCUCACUGAAGGCUUCGGAAGGCAGAGAGCAAACCUCCAGCAGCCAGAGACUGUGCUGCUGUGUCUGUAUAAAACUAUCUCUCUGGCAUUGUUGAGAGUAAAAAUUAAAAGUGCAGCUCAUCAGAGAUGAUUGCCUUAAUUCAAAGGGCAAGGGGAGCUGCACAUUUAACUGUGGCUGCCCUCUGCAUACUGCUGGCUGUGAUGUGAUCGCUGUGUUUAUAUGAAAUCCUGCAGCCAAUGGCAGCAUCUUUCAGGCAUCAGUGGUCUGUCUUGGUAGAAGCAGAAUGGACCUCUCAGUUUUUUACACGUUUUUUUUUUAUUUUUCUUUCUAGAACCGGGUUCAGGUGGAUAGACUCUAAAUAGAAUACCAUGCCAAUGCCAAUUAUAUUCGGAAAGUAUUACAAUUUCUCUUUUGAUGCUUAUUACAUUACAUUAAUUAAGAACAAACUUAGAUAAAGAAGGGUGUAAGUUUAAAUGCUAAAAUCCUGAAGUGAGAACUUUGUAGUCUGAAAAAAGCUACAGAACUGACUUUUCUUCUUGAAAAAAAAAAAAAAGAAAA